UGCCAGCAGCCGCGGUAAGACGGAGGGUGCUAGCGUUGUUCGGAAUGACUGGGCGUAAAGGGCGCGUAGGCGGUUUUGUUAGUCAGGCGUGAAAGCCCCGGGCUCAACCCGGGAACUGUGUUUGAUACUGCAAGACUUGAGGACGGAAGAGGAAAGUGGAAUUCCUAGUGUAGAGGUGAAAUUCGUAGAUAUUAGGAGGAACACCAGAGGCGAAGGCGGCUUUCUGGUCCAAUACUGACGCUGAGAUGCGAAAGCGUGGGGAGCGAACAGGAUUAGAUA
rnacentral:rRNA from 1 species